AUUUUGCUUGUUAUCAGAAAUAAACUAACGUUACUCUAAAAGGACUUGAUAUUGAUUUAAACGGAGAUUACCGGAAGUUACCUGUGUUCCACGAAAGCCGUUUGUUCAAAACCUUGUCCGGGAAACCACCCCUAAAUGUUUACGAAUUCAACAUAUUUUCUUUCUGUAAACCUCAUUUCCCUGGGUUUUGCUGCUUCUCUUCAGAACAAACCUCUUAAUGCUCUUCUUCAUGUCUGGAGAUGGUGUUAUAUUGAAAGACCUUGGCUACAUCCAAACCACUGACCUCUCUUUGCCAGCAUUAUACACUUUUUUUGACCUUCAGAUAGGGGAUGUUACAAUUCACAAAUGUAAUUCUGUUUCACAGUGAUUCGAAUUCUCUUUGGUAGAAAAAAGACAACAAAAACCCUUUCCGGUCCAAAAACAGAUCCCUACCUGCACUUCAAUAUGGCUAUAAGAUGGUCAGCCAGCUAAGAAGGACCAGUUUCCCGAUGUAACAUUUAGUGAAAUGCAUUGUGACACCUCUCCCCCACCCAGCUGCUACUUUUUAAAUGUUGAUUCUCAUCCAUUUACUCGACGAGAGGAUUUAGGGAGGACAAUGAGUGGAGACCCAUAAGAGAUACCUGAUCCCUUUAAUCAUGUUUAAAAAUGCUUGCCACCCUUGAACAAAGUGUGUCACCAAGUGAACCUCAUUUAAUCCUCCAUUGCUCUGGGAUCAAUGCCGCUCUGAGCAGUGCAUUGCUCAUUCAUUCUCCAAAAGAAAAAACUAAAAUCUGCUCUUUAAACAUAGUGAGAGAACUGGUGACAGCCUCUUCAAAGAUUCAUCUCUGAGUUCACCUGUGAAAGCUCUUAAAUCGGUGGGGUUAAAUGGAGCUUCUAAGAGCCAUCUGAAUUGUGGUCUGGAGUGACCUCUUAAAAAAAAAUGCCCUGCAAAAAGCAAAACCUGCCGAAGCGGAAAUAACACAUAUUAGAUGAUGUUUGUUGUGACGCAAAUGCAUGACCUUUCAUGCAGCUAAUGCAAUCCUGAUUUGUAGUGAAUAAACCAAAUGCCCAUAACUUUAUUAUUCAUGCUUUGUGAUAUGUAUGUUAUGCUGGCCAGUUGCCAGUUUUAACCCUUCCUGAACUGAACUGUAAAGGGGUCUUGUGACUCACUGUGGGGAGCCCAUCUGUGGUAUUAACCGCCAGACGGCAGAAUGAUGGCCCUGCCCCCCUACUUGACACCCCUGACCAUUGUUCGUAUACACCAAACCAUAUAUAAUCCCAUAUGAAGUUAAACCUUUAGAAAACAUCCAUGGUGUGGAGAUAAAAGAGACACGCUGGACUGGAUAAUAAACUGUGUGCUUAUUAGUUAUAGAAAAGUGCAGCUACAGGGUUUUAUUCAAACUGAAACACUGAGAUUAAUUAUAAGGUAUAUAUUCAGUUCAUAGAAGUGCACUGUGACCCUUGUGGAAAAACUUGCAUCAUGUGCAAAAAAUAAAUAAAUGAACAUGUAUAACCAUU